rnacentral:tRNA from 1 species
GUCGGUCUCGUAAACCGAAGAUCGCGGGUUCGAACCCCGUCCGUGCCU